rnacentral:rRNA from 1 species
GGUCCAGACUCCUACGGGAGGCAGCAGUGGGGAAUAUUGCACAAUGGGGGAAACCCUGAUGCAGCCAUGCCGCGUGUGUGAAGAAGGCCUUCGGGUUGUAAAGCACUUUCAGCGAGGAGGAAAGGUUGUUGGCUAAUACCCAACAGCUGUGACGUUACUCGCAGAAGAAGCACCGGCUAACUCCGUGCCAGCAGCCGCGGUAAUACGGAGGGUGCAAGCGUUAAUCGGAAUUACUGGGCGUAAAGCGCACGCAGGCGGUUGGAUAAGUUAGAUGUGA